AUUGAACGCUGGCGGCAGGCCUAACACAUGCAAGUCGAGCGGUAGAGAGAAGCUUGCUUCUCUCGAGAGCGGCGGACGGGUGAGUAAUGCCUAGGAAUCUGCCUGGUAGUGGGGGAUAACGUCCGGAAACGGACGCUAAUACCGCAUACGUCCUACGGGAGAAAGCAGGGGACCUUCGGGCCUUGCGCUAUCAGAUGAGCCUAGGUCGGAUUAGCUAGUUGGUGGGGUAAUGGCUCACCAAGGCGACGAUCCGUAACUGGUCUGAGAGGAUGAUCAGUCACACUGGAACUGAGACACGGUCCAGACUCCUACGGGAGGCAGCAGUGGGGAAUAUUGGACAAUGGGCGAAAGCCUGAUCCAGCCAUGCCGCGUGUGUGAAGAAGGUCUUCGGAUUGUAAAGCACUUUAAGUUGGGAGGAAGGGCAGUAAAUUAAUACUUUGCUGUUUUGACGUUACCGACAGAAUAAGCACCGGCUAACUCUGUGCCAGCCGCCGCCGUAACAC
rnacentral:rRNA from 1 species